rnacentral:rRNA from 1 species
CGGGGGCCCGCACAAGCGGUGGAGCGUGUGGUUUAAUUCGAUGAUACGCGAGGAACCUUACCUGGGCUUAAAUGUAGAAUGGCGGAUUGGGAAACCAGUCUUUACUUCGGACGUUUUACAAGGUGCUGCAUGGCCGUCGUCAGCUCGUGCCGUGAGGUGUUGGGUUAAGUCCCGCAACGAGCGCAACCCUUAUCUUUAGUUGCCAGCGAGUAAUGUCGGGGACUCUAGAGAAACUGCCCGCGCAAGCGGAGAGGAAGGUGAGGACGACGUCAGGUCAUCACGGCCCUUAUGUCCAGGGCUACACACGUGCUACAAUGGCGGAUACAAAGGGCAGCUACUUGGUGACAAGAUGCUAAUCUCGAAAGUCCGUCCUAGUUCGGAUCGAAGUCUGCAACUCGACUUCGUGAAGCUGGAAUCGCUAGUAAUCGUGAAUCAUGCCACUGUCACGGUG